rnacentral:ncRNA from 1 species
AAAGACGCAAGGAAGAGUAACAGUGAUUUCGGUCCGCAGAGAAUCCGGCUGGUGGAAAAGGAUGACUGCAAACACUGUGAAGAUGAGCUUUGCCAUGUCACUAGCUUGUUAACGCAGACUAGUCGGUCGGAGCCGUUAACUUUCCGGACCUCGAAAGAUCAUGAAUUUCGGCGUCGUUGAGGCAUUGCUUGUGAAGGUAAUGUAAAUUUGGGUGGUACCGCGCUGCAGCAUUCGUCCCUUGG